rnacentral:misc_RNA from 1 species
CACACUUAAUUGCAACAUUGUACCUGAAAUUAGAACCAAAUUAUCAGAGUUUAUCAGCAUAACAAUGCUCAAACAGAUUGAAAAUACUACAGAAUGAACAACAAAUAUGCAUCGUUCAUUUAGCAAAGGUACCAAGACAAAUGAUAGUAGGACUUCCAAAAUACCAAUCUUACUCUGAGGAAUAAUUUUCAUUAGUAAGGAAUUCAUAAAGUUAUGUAAAAACCCUUACUUAAGGGUAGCCUCUGCACUUUCAACUGUAACUUUAUCAUCAGUGGCAUCACGAUGAGGAAGGCCAAGGUCAAAGUAUUUUAU